rnacentral:rRNA from 1 species
UACGUAGGUGGCAAGCGUUGUCCGGAUUUAUUGGGCGUAAAGCGAGCGCAGGCGGUUUCUUAAGUCUGAUGUGAAAGCCCCCGGCUCAACCGGGGAAGGUCAUUGGAAACUGGGGAACUUGAGUGCAGAAGAGGAGAGUGGAAUUCCAUGUGUAGCGGUGAAAUGCGUAGAUAUAUGGAGGAACACCAGUGGCGAGGGCGGCUUUCUGGACUGUAACUGACACUGAGGCACGGAAGCGUGGGUAGCAAACAGG